rnacentral:rRNA from 1 species
GACGAACGCUGGCGGCGUGCUUAACACAUGCAAGUCGAGCGAGCGGCGGACGGGUGAUUCAUGUAUGGGGACUGCCCGAUAGAGGGGGAUAACUACUGGAAACGGUGGCUAAUACCGCAUAAUGUCGGAUAACCCAUAUGGGAUUAGCUAGUAGGUAAGGUAAUGGCUUACCUAGGCGACCAUCACUAGCUGGUCUGAGAGGAUGAUCCGCCACACUGGGACUGAGACACGGCCCAGACUCCUACGGAGGCAGCAGGGGGGAAUAUUGCACAAUGGGCGCAAGCCUGAGGCAGCCAUGCCGCGUGUAUGAAGAAGGCCCUAGGGUUGUAAAGUACUUUCAGUCGGGAGGCGUUACCGACAGAAGAAGCACCGGCUAACUCCGUGCCAGCAGCCGCGGUAAUAC